rnacentral:rRNA from 1 species
AGAGUUUGAUCCUGGCUCAGAACGAACGCUGGCGGCAGGCUUAACACAUGCAAGUUGAACGGGAUUUGUGUGGUGCUUGCACCAUAUAAUGAGAGUAGCGCACUGGUGAGUAACACGUGGGAACGUACCUUUUGGUGGGGGACAACAUCUGGAAACGGAUGCUAAUACCGCAUAAGACCUGAGGGUGAAAGAUUUAUCGCCGAAAGAACGGCCCGCGGAAGAUUAGGCAGUUGGUGGGGUAAAGGCCUACCAAACCUACGAUCUAUAGCUGGUCUGAGAGGACGAUCAGCCACACUGGAACUGAGACACGGUCCAGACUCCUACGGGAGGCAGCAGUGAGGAAUAUUGGUCAAUGGGCGAGAGCCUGAACCAGCCAAGUCGCGUGAAGGAUGAAGGAUCUAUGGUUUGUAAACUUCUUUUAUAUGGGAAUAAAGUGAGGAACGUGUUCCUUUUUGUAUGUACCAUAUGAAUAAGCAUCGGCUAACUCCGUGCCAGCAGCCGCGGUAAUACGGAGGAUGCGAGCGUUAUCCGGAUUUAUUGGGUUUAAAGGGUGCGUAGGUGGUUAAUUAAGUCAGCGGUGAAAGUUUGUGGCUCAACCAUAAAAUUGCCGUUGAAACUGGUUGACUUGAGUAUAUUUGAGGUAGGCGGAAUGCGUGGUGUAGCGGUGAAAUGCAUAGAUAUCACGCAGAACUCCGAUUGCGAAGGCAGCUUACUAAACUAUAACUGACACUGAAGCACGAAAGCGUGGGGAUCAAACAGGAUUAGAUACCCUGGUAGUCCACGCAGUAAACGAUGAUUACUAGCUGUUUGCGAUACACUGUAAGCGGCACAGCGAAAGCGUUAAGUAAUCCACCUGGGGAGUACGCCGGCAACGGUGAAACUCAAAGGAAUUGACGGGGGCCC